UGCAGUCGAGCGGAACGAGUUAUCUGAACCUUCGGGGAACGAUAACGGCGUCGAGCGGCGGACGGGUGAGUAAUGCCUAGGAAAUUGCCCUGAUGUGGGGGAUAACCAUUGGAAACGAUGGCUAAUACCGCAUGAUGCCUACGGGCCAAAGAGGGGGACCUUCGGGCCUCUCGCGUCAGGAUAUGCCUAGGUGGGAUUAGCUAGUUGGUGAGGUAAGGGCUCACCAAGGCGACGAUCCCUAGCUGGUCUGAGAGGAUGAUCAGCCACACUGGAACUGAGACACGGUCCAGACUCCUACGGGAGGCAGCAGUGGGGAAUAUUGCACAAUGGGCGCAAGCCUGAUGCAGCCAUGCCGCGUGUGUGAAGAAGGCCUUCGGGUUGUAAAGCACUUUCAGUCGUGAGGAAGGUAGUGUAGUUAAUAGCUGCAUUAUUUGACGUUAGCGACAGAAGAAGCACCGGCUAACUCCGUGCCAGCAGCCGCGGUAAUACGGAGGGUGCGAGCGUUAAUCGGAAUUACUGGGCGUAAAGCGCAUGCAGGUGGUUUGUUAAGUCAGAUGUGAAAGCCCGGGGCUCAACCUCGGAAUAGCAUUUGAAACUGGCAGACUAGAGUACUGUAGAGGGGGGUAGAAUUUCAGGUGUAGCGGUGAAAUGCGUAGAGAUCUGAAGGAAUACCGGUGGCGAAGGCGG
rnacentral:rRNA from 1 species